rnacentral:misc_RNA from 1 species
GAAAUGCGAUAAUUAAUGUGAAUUGCAGAAUUCAGUGAAUCGUCGAGUCUUUGAACGCACAUUGCGCCCCCUGGUAUUCCGGGGGGCAUGCCUGUCCGAGCGUCAUUGCUGCCCUCAAGCACGGCUUGUGUGUUGGGCUUCCGUCCCUGGCAACGGGGACGGGCCCAAAAGGCAGUGGCGGCACCAUGUCUGGUCCUCGAGCGUAUGGGGCUUUGUCACCCGCUCCCGUAGGUCCAGCUGGCAGCUAGCCUCGCAACCAAUCUUUUUAACCAGGUUGACCUCGGAUCAGGUAGGGAUACCCGCUGAACUUAAGC